CACUCCUGCGGGAGGCAGCAGUGGGGAAUAUUGGACAAUGGGCGCAAGCCUGAUCCAGCCAUGCCGCGUGAGUGAUGAAGGCCCUAGGGUUGUAAAGCUCUUUCACCGGAGAAGAUAAUGACGGUAUCCGGAGAAGAAGCCCCGGCUAACUUCGUGCCAGCAGCCGCGGUAAUACGAAGGGGGCUAGCGUUGUUCGGAAUUACUGGGCGUAAAGCGCACGUAGGCGGAUCGAUCAGUCAGGGGUGAAAUCCCAGGGCUCAACCCUGGAACUGCCUUUGAUACUGUCGAUCUGGAGUAUGGAAGAGGUGAGUGGAAUUCCGAGUGUAGAGGUGAAAUUCGUAGAUAUUCGGAGGAACACCAGUGGCGAAGGCGGCUCACUGGUCCAUUACUGACGCUGAGGUGCGAAAGCGUGGGGAGCAAACAGGAUUAGAAACCCGGGUAGUCCCA
rnacentral:rRNA from 1 species